AUUGAACGCUGGCGGCAGGCCUAACACAUGCAAGUCGAGCGGAGCGGCGGACGGGUGAGUAAUGCCUAGGAAUCUGCCUGGUAGUGGGGGAUACCGUCCGGAAACGGGCGCUAAUACCGCAUACUAUCAGAUGAGCCUAGGUCGGAUUAGCUAGUUGGUGGGGUAAAGGCCUACCAAGGCGACGAUCCGUAACUGGUCUGAGAGGAUGUUCAGUCACACGGGAACGGAGACACGGUCCGGACGCCUACGUGAUGCAGCAGUGGGGAAUAUGGGACAAUGGGGGAAAGCCUGAUCCAGCCAUGCCGCGUGUGUUAAGAAGGUCUUGGGAUUGUAAAGCACUUUAAGUUGGGAGGCGGUACCAACAGAAUAAGCACCGGCUAACUUCGUGCCAGCCGCCGCGGUAAUUC
rnacentral:rRNA from 1 species